GGUGUGUGCCUGACAGAAGUGGCGGGAGUGCUUGCAGCCACCUGGAGCCAUAAAUCAUGUGACUCAGUCAGUGUUCCUGAGGUGAUCAUGCUCUCUUAGAGACACAAUUUAUUUUGUAGAUUAUUCCUGGAAAAAUGUCAUCUCCCUGGCUUCUCUGUGCCUUCCAGGGUACUGCUGGAUAUCUAUCUGCAUCUAUCUAUCAGGCGAACGGAGAAUGAUGUAAAAUUUUAAACCCGAAGCAGUAUCAUCUAUGGAACUCAGCGGUUUCCACCAUCAGUUACUGCGGAAGAAAGCAAGUCUUGAUUUUGAAUGUUCACACGUCUUGGAGAUAUGGAGCCUUACUUGGCUGGGUUAACAGCCAGCUCUGAGAGCCUGAGAUGACUGCUCCUCCAUUUCUCAGUCAUUUCUUCUCAGUAGAAUGCAAACUGUAAGAGGCGCCCUUUGAAGCCUGUUCAAGGAUCCAGUCUUUAAGGAUGAUUAUAUAACUCUUAAGCCUAUUAGGCAUAACUAUGGAACCCUUUCCCUUUUUAUUUUUUAAAUUUUACAGAAAGAAGCUUUAAUUAGAAUGUUAGAGGGAAGACAGGAAAGGAUUCCAGUUUAGGUACCCAGAAGGAAAGCACGCUGAUACAGGGGCUCUAACCAGCACACUUAAAAAGGCAAGAGGCCAGUUUUUGAGGAUUACCUAAUGGGUUGGGAUCUGGUUGAUCAUUAGCUUAGUCUUGAUAUCAUAAUUCUGCAUUGUUAUGGGGGAAGAGACGGUUUAAUUCCCAGCACAGGACUGUCUCUUUCUGUUGUGGUCUCUGUCGUGUGCAAUGUUAAUUAAAGAGAUUGACUCA